CAGUCAAGUGCAAUUAAUCCUGAUCCCCUAUAUAGCUAUAACUACAACCCUCCCACAUAGGCGCCACCUAUGUAAAAUAACCUUGAACUACAUACACCUUGUUUCGUUACUAAGACUUCUGUAUGUGUGUUAAAAUAUGGCGCUAAAUAUCGACUUUUAUUAAUUUAAGCGCCAUCUUAAAUCAAAUAUUGGAACUAGCUUCAUAAAGUUCAUGCCAGAAUGUUAAAACCUGUGUUGUUCACUUUUAACUAUUGCAAGCCAGCUCAGUGUGAUACGAAGUGAUUGCAUUUUUCACCAGCUUAACUACUUGACGGUGUGGUGUAAUCGUUAAGGUAUUCGGCUUUCAAUAUGGAGGUUCAGAGUUCAAAUCUCUGGGAGGUGUGACUUUUAAAAUUUAUUUUUAUGUUUUACUUUGUUAAUCAUUAUAGAUAGGUUAUUUUAGACUAUCUUUAUCAAUAUGAACAGGAAAUAAAAUAAAAACAUAAUAUAUAAGAAAAAGAACUUUAUUUCACUAAACAAGUAAAUAUUAUUAGUCUGUAUGCAGAAUAAUUAUGAACAAAAGUAAACAAAUUCAAAAAUUGUAGAAUUACAACAAUGAGAACCAACAUGUUACUAAAUUUCACAAUUUACAUCUCUUGUUGUUUUCUACAAUUAAAUUAUAAAUAAGCAACAAUUUUAUUACUAAGUAGUUACUUAUAAAUAUGUAAUCAAUUAUCUUAACAGUAUGAACAAAUAAUUAUCUUACUACUAAAUAAAUUUUACUCAUUUUUAAACUGGGGACCCGUUAAAUACCUACUAAACGUAUAAUAACAUAGUUAUAAUGUUCCAUUUCUUCUUUGCGAGUUGUGCUGUUAUAGUGUAGAAGAUAUUUCUCACGCAAUGCAAACAGCAACCAUAAUAUCAUCCUUAAAAUUCUCAAAUUAAAUCUUGUCAUGCGUUAGCUAUUUUAUAACAGUUCUUCAGGGUCCAUUAUAGGACAUCCAUCUUCGGUAACCUUUAAAAACAAUGAUUUGAUCAUGCCUUAAUGAAUAUAACAAAUUGUGACAUUAUUACUAUAGCGUAAAAAGUAUAUUAUGAUAAUCUAUAAGUAAAAUAAAUGAAAGCCAAUAAUAUAUAAAGUAACCAAUAAAAUUAUAAAGAGAAAAUACGAACCCAAUGUUGUCCUGGCACUUAACUCAAUUAAUAAUGAUGACCUUGUUAAUAAAUUCGUUUGUCAUCGUUACAAAUCAAUAAUUUUGAUUAUAUUAUAGGUAUAAAUAUAAAUCAGAUCAAUCAGAUGGAAUUAACAAAACCCAUCUCAAUGCAACAAAACAUUCUCUUCAAGUCUACAAUUUCAAAUGAGAAAUAAAUUCAAAAUACCCUCUGCGCUUAUAAUAUUUCAUAUUGUAAACAAUUAUCACUACAUAGACUAUACGUUUGCUAAUGAACCGCAACAUAUUCACUAUUUUGCAAACGAGUUCAAUAAGCUUCUUGGCGUAGCGGGCAAAUGGUUGGUUUGCGAAUAAUUGGGCCGCGGGUUCGAGCCCAGAUGAAAAACAAAAAUAAUUUAAAUUUUGUAUUUCAUAAUAUUAUUGUUCUAUGAAUUCGUUAGUUUGUGUAAAUGAUGGAUAUUAUCUAAAAUCUAAAUGAUGGAUAUAAAUAGGAGAAUAGUAAAAUAGUUCUGUGUCUGUCUAUAGACACGAGCACUACCGCAACAUACGUCACACCGACAAAUUGGCUUUGCGUAGUUUGAAUUUCUAUUUGAAAUGCAGGGGGUCAGGUUUUUCUGCACCUGACUGUACGU